rnacentral:lncRNA from 1 species
GUAGAAUUGUGGACAAAGUCAUCCUUUGUAUUUCACAAACAACAACUUUUGAAAUAUUAUUCUUUUAGGGCAAUUGCUCCAGCACUUUGAGUUAGAGCACACAGUAGACACGCUGUUGUUUUGUAGUUGUUGUGGCCUGCAGGUUGAUGACACACUUUCUUUAAUCAGGUACUACAGGUUUCGCUCUAUAAUGAUCACGCCACUCCCUACUCCCCUUAAAAUACCUGCUCUCUCAAAGAAUCAUUUGCUUGUGCCACGGAACGCAGAGCUCGGCAAAAUGUUCGGCAAUCCAGGUGCAGGUGACAAACAUCCGUCCGGGUUUGACAUCACCGAGUGCUUGACUGGGGAUGAUGGUCAUGGCAGCGGGGAUCAUCAUGGUGGAGGAAGUGACAAGCCCAAAGACGACCACAGUAAGGGGAGAAAAGAAGAUGAACACGACCGGCGGGAUGGAGACCACGACCGUGACCGUAAACAUGACCGCGACCAUGACUCGGACCGCAAGGACCAAGACAGGGUCCACAGUCCGGACCGCAAGGAUCGAGACAGGGUCCACAGUCCGGACCGCAAGGAUCGAGACAGGGUCCACAGUCCGGACCGCAAGGAUCGAGACAGGGCCCAUAGUCCGGACCGCAAGGAUCGAGACAGGGCCCAUAGUCCAGACCGCAGGGAUCGUCGGGACAGCAAGGGCAGUGGGAGUGGAAGCGAGAGUGGCAGUGACGGGGGCCAUGGCAAACAAGGCAAACACGGAAAACACGGCAAACACAAGCGCAGCGGCCACCCCGGGCGUGGCCGAGGGCAUGGCCGAGGCGGCUGGUAGAGGUGAGAUCAAAAGCUGCAGACCACACCCAGACCACCCCUGGACAUCAUCUGUACAAACACAUGCAGCGGGCAGAACCAUUUAUCUGAUCAACUGAACUCACUGAGUGUAUGAAAAUAAAAGUGAGAGAAAAUUAUUAAACAUGAAUGUGUUUUAUGUAUUU